AUAUGGUGUUAUAGUACCAUUGCAGAAUUCCAUCUGCAGCGGCAGACUGCAGGAGGUAACAACGUGAGGCAUGGUCAUUUUUCAGUGAUAACCACAUGGACAAUAUAAUAAUUUACUUCACUGAAAUGUUCUGCACAGUGUUAUAUUAAAGCAAGAAACCCUGGCUC